GAAAUACAUAGUGUUCAGAAAGAGUACAAGUUAACAUUAUUCUGAGAAAUGUUUAAAACUUGGUAUGGUAAGAGUACAACAAGGGCUCAAUCUGAUCAUAGUUCAACAUCAUUUCAAGAAGAGACUUUGAACAUCUAAUUUUACAGAAGGUGUUUAACUUUUCCGUGUCUCGUGAUUCGAAGACCUUCAAGAUGUCAUGGCAAACCAUGGGAGUCCUGAUUGAGGACAUUGUUUGGUUUCUGGCAUAGGAACAAUGGAACCUAGACAAAUACGCCACAAGUCGAGUAAGAUGGUGACUAGCAUUGCAGCACCCAAUGCAUCAAUGGACACUCUUGGCAAGUCCCAUGAAUCUCCAGGUUUCUCAUCAACCCUGAAAAACAUUGGAUAGCUUACAAUGAAGUAGAUUGCAUAAAACAAGGAACCAACUUUAUACAUCACUGCUCGGUCCACGAAGUCAUAGUACGGAAAAUUGGAAAUAGCUAAUGUCUCCAGAUAAGCUAUAAAAUAAGCAUAUGCAAGAAUCCACCCAGCCUUGAAAGCCCAUUGAACAUUCUCGGGCAAAUC
rnacentral:misc_RNA from 1 species